ensembl:lncRNA
GGUGUGUCCUUCACAUCUGUGUCACCGAGGUCCUGGGACAGGCCUGACCAGACAUUAACAGCAAUGAUGACAGCUGCCACUUGGUGGGCACGGGCCCUGUGGCCAAGCAUGCUCGGGGGUGGUGCCCCCAUGACCUCACUGAAUCCUGUUCAUCAAUCCAUUCCAGAUGAGAAGGAACACUUGCUUGGCUGCCUGAGGAGACCAGACCUAGCAGCCAAACCAUGUGGCUUUGGCCAAAUUCCUGGUGUGACAGGUAAUUGCGGUUUUCCUAGGAGCUUCACCUGGGCACCUGCUAGAAACUUGGAUUUCUUAAAAAAUUAGACACGAUUCAGGUAGUCAAAUGCACAAAUCAUUGUGUGCAACGAGGUAGGUUUUUACAUGUGACCUCCCUGGUCCAGAUACGGAACAUUUUUGGCACCCCAGAAAUCUCCCUUGUGCCUACCACUAGUCCAUGUACCACACCAGGAACCCAGGGGAACCCACUGUUCUGAAGACUGUCUCCAU